UCAGGAUGAACGCUGGCGGCGUGCUUAACACAUGCAAGUCGAACGAAGCUCUAAACCUGAGAUCGUCAAGGGCGAGGGAUGACUUAGUGGCGGACGGGUGAGUAAUGCGUGAGCAACCUGCCCUUCAGAGGGGGACAACAGCUGGAAACGGCUGCUAAUACCGCAUAAAGUACAGAUGAGGCAUCUCGACUGUACCAAAGAUUUAUCGCUGAAGGAUGGGCUCACGUCUGAUUAGCUAGUUGGUGAGGUAAUGGCUCACCAAGGCUGCGAUCAGUAGCCGGACUGAGAGGUUGGCCGGCCACAUUGGGACUGAGAUACGGCCCAGACUCCUACGGGAGGCAGCAGUGGGGAAUAUUGGGCAAUGGGCGCAAGCCUGACCCAGCAACGCCGCGUGAAGGAAGGAGGCUUUCGGGUUGUAAACUUCUUUUGGCAGGGACGAAGAAAGUGACGGUACCUGCAGAAUAAGCUCCGGCUAACUACGUGCCAGCCGCUGC
rnacentral:rRNA from 1 species